CGCAUCUGUGCAUGCAGCAUAUCAAUAAGCGGAGGAAAAGAAACUAACAAGGAUUCCCCUAGUAACGGCGAGUGAAGCGGGAAGAGCUCAAAUUUGAAAUCUUAAAGGGUUUCCCUUUACGAAUUGUAGUUUAAAGAAGUGUUUUCUGUUGAGGUUUUGGUAAAAGUUCUUUGGAAUAGGACAUCAUAGAGGGUGAGAAUCCCGUAUUUGACCUUUACUUUCAACUUUGUGAUACACUUUCAAAGAGUCGGAUUGUUUGGGAAUGCAGUCCAAAAUGGGUGGUAAAUUUCAUCUAAAGCUAAAUAUUGGCGAGAGACCGAAUAGCGAACAAGUACCGUGAGGGAAAGAUGAAAAGAACUUUGAAAAGAGAGUUAAACAGUACGUGAAAUUGUCAAAAGGGAAGCGUUUGACACCAGUGUUGUUUUUCUGAAAAUCAAUUAAAGAACUGUUUAUGCUAAGUUGUUUAGACUUUAUCAGCUAUCUGUUUAGUUUUGAGCUUUUCUUUAAUGCACUUUUCAGUUAACAAGUCAACAUCAAUUUCUUUUGCUGUAAAAAAGCUUGAGGAAGGUGGCUUGAGAUUCGUCUUAAGUGUUUAUAGCCUCUUGCCUAUGCAGUCGGAGAGAUUGAGGUCUGCAGCGUAGAUCCUUCGGGGCUAAAUGCAUUUGUGCUAAGUUAUAGCAUUUUAUAGACAACUUGUUGACUAUGAUUUGUCUUGUAGCUUACUCGCUUAUGUUAUUUUACCUACGCUUAGGAUGUUGAGUCGUAGAGCACGCAG
rnacentral:rRNA from 1 species